rnacentral:rRNA from 1 species
GUCGAUGGCCAUACCUCCCUGAACGUGCCCGAUCUUGUCUGGAUCUCGGAAACUAAGCAGGGUCAGCCUGGUUAGAACUUGGAUAGGAGAUGUUCAAACAGUAUGCUUCUAGAAUUAUUCAUC